AUUGAACGCUGGCGGCAUGCCUUACACAUGCAAGUCGAACGGCAGCACGGGGGCAACCCUGGUGGCGAGUGGCGAACGGGUGAGUAAUGCAUCGGAACGUGCCCAGUAGUGGGGGAUAACCCGGCGAAAGCCGGGCUAAUACCGCAUACGACCUACGGGUGAAAGCGGGGGACCGUAAGGCCUCGCGCUAUUGGAGCGGCCGAUGUCUGAUUAGCUAGUUGGCGGGGUAAAGGCCCACCAAGGCGACGAUCAGUAGCUGGUCUGAGAGGACGACCAGCCACACUGGGACUGAGACGCGGCCCAGACUCCUACGGGAGGCAGCAGUGGGGAAUUUUGGACAAUGGGCGCAAGCCUGAUCCAGCCAUGCCGCGUGCGGGAAGAAGGCCUUCGGGUUGUAAACCGCUUUUGGCAGGAACGAAACGGCGCAAGCUAAUACCUUGCGCUAAUGACGGUACCUGCAGAAUAAGCACCGGCUAACUACGUGCCAGCCGCCGCCGUAAGAC
rnacentral:rRNA from 1 species